rnacentral:rRNA from 1 species
UAGCCGUAAACGAUACUCGCUAGGUGUCGGCCACGGUGCGACCGUUGUCGGUGCCGUAGGGAAGCCGUGAAGCGAGCCACCUGGGAAGUACGGCCGCAAGGCUGAGACUUAAAGGAAUUGGCGGGGGAGCACAACAACGGGUGGAGCUUGCGGUUUAAUUGGAUUCAACGCCGGAAAUCUUACCGGGACCGACAGCAACAUGAAGGCCAAGCUGAAGACUUUGCCGGAUUAGCUGAGAGGUGGUGCAUGGCGUAGUCGUGU